rnacentral:rRNA from 1 species
AAAAAAGUAAAUUUUUAANCCUAAANUAAUAAAAGUUAAGUUCUCUAAAAUUAAAAAAGAUGGCGGUAUUUUAGUCCAUNCAGAGGAACCUGUCCUGUAAUUGAUAGUCCACGUUUUUAUGAACUUAUUUUUUUAGUUUACAUAUCGCUGUGGUUAGAAUAUUUUUACUGAAUUUUAAUAUUCAAGAUUUUAGUAUAAAAUGAUAUCAGGUCAAGAUGUAGUUUAUAGAUAAGAAGAAGAUGGGUUACAAUAAAAUUAUUUGUAGAUAUUUUUUUUAAAAUUAAAUUGAAAAUGGAUUUGAAGGUAAUUUGUUAAUAAUAUUUAAUUAAUGAUUUAGUCUCUAAAAU